GCCAUGGAAAUAGCACAACAAUAAAGAUAUGCAGAAAAUAGCCCGAGCCUCCUCUGUUAAUUAAAACAUUACAACUGGCGACGGGGAUACUUUUAGGAGAAGAGAUGACGUCAAGUAUCAGCAAGACUGAAGCAGCAUGUGGUUCUCCUCCUCACUCUGGGGCAGAGCCAGCUCCAAGCCUCGUUGCUGGCAGAAAUCUGCAGCCUUCUGGAAAGAUCCUCUCUCCUUGUUGGACACAAAGUAUUUCUGACCCGCCUUCCUCACAAAGUCAAAGGUUAAAGCUGGAAGAACAUGCAGAAAAUUUGGAAGAGAAAAACUUUCCGUUUUUGAGCUGCUACCUGGGAUAGCAUAUCCAGGUGGUCUUUGUGCUCCUGGUGCUCCUGGUGGUCCUGGUGGU